CAAAGGGUGAGAUUAUCCAUUUGUCCAUCAUGGUGGUGCUGUCCUUAGGCUGGGGAAGUCGCUCAGAUGACAAGCCAGGCUGAACGGCAGGGACAAUGGCAGGUGUGAGAAUGUGGGCGCUAUUUAACUUGGGCCAGGAGGAAGAGUAGUUGACUGAUGUGCUGCCCUGUGUCAGAGAAUAACGUGGCACCUGCUUUGGAGUAAAAGGUAAGAUGCAGGUGUCAGUGGGAGUGAGAGUAAGGGAGAAAGCCAGACACACUACUAGCUGGAACAGCCUCCUUGGCCAGAGAGUAUGAUCUUGGGCCAGACAAUUCUCUAAGGAAGUCUUAAUAAUUUUUAUGGUGUUUGUAUUUUGAGUAACAAUUUCCUUUUUGUCUGUCUUGGCACUGAGUACUGCUCUUUGUGAAAACACCAGUCUGUCUCAGGUAUGCUAGGGAGAAUACAGAAAAGGGUUCUGGGCAAUAUUUGGUAGUGGGGAGGCAGGAUGCUCCCAGAGCCAAGUGAGGGGGUGGCUACAGUGGAAAUAAGGAUGAGAAGACACCAGAGGAAGGAAGAGAUUUCCUCUGGGACCCUCCCUGACAUCCUUUAUGUUUGGCCCUCAGAAGGUUGGAUGUUCUUUUGCAAAUGUGACUGGACAAUACUUUGAGAUGGUAAUUUACAGACUUUUCUCUUCCCAUAUUUCCCCUCUUUGCCUCCUUCCUUUCAAUCAGAUAGUUGGCAGUCAUCCAUAAUCUCAGGAGAAGACAGCAAACUGGCCAAAAAGCAAAAGCAGAUGGUAAGUUACUUGUUUUGUGCUCUAAAUGCCUAUAUCUUUAGGGACACAAUAGAUUCUGGGUUUGAACAGAAUGUUUGGGAGAGGGAGGAGCUUUCCUCUAAACGUGAAAAAGAUUUUCCUGGGUCACGGUGGGGUAGAAUUAAGGAGGUACAUGGGUGUGAAUGCAGACAGAAGUGGAGGUCCAAAAGGGGCCUUCACCAUGCUUUCCAGUAGAUCCUGGAUGCAGUGAGGCCCCAGGGAGUAAACGGGUGUGUGGGAGGUGCAAGGACAAAUGGUCCCCCCAAAACGUUCACGUUCUAAUUCUCAGAACUGUGUUACCUUAUGUGGCAAAAAGAGACUUUACAGAUGUGAUUACGUGAAAGAUCUUGAGGUGGGGAAGUAUCCUGGAAUACCCAGAUGGACCUGAUGUGAUUCCAACGCCCCUUAUAGGAGGGAGGCUGGAGAGCAGAAUCAGUGAAGGAGUCGUGAUGAUGCUGCCCUGCUGGCUUGAGGGGUUCCAGCCAAGGAGUGCAGGUGGCCUCUAGAGGGUGGGAAAAGCAAGUUAAACGCAUUCUCCUCUAGAGCUUCCAGAAGGAACCAGCUCUACUGACACCUUAAUUUUAGCCCAUAGGACCCAUAAAGGAAGUAAUCGUUCUUGCACACUGGGCUUGGGGGCUGAAAUUCCUACUCUCUACACACCAAUGUUUUCACUUCUGCUUCAGGGGAGGGCAUCCACUGUGGGCCACAUGCUUUAUACAUGCUUGUUCUAGUUCAUCUUCACAACCCAAUGAGGUAAUAUCCCCAUUAUCAAUUUAAUUUAUUCCUGAAAAUGUGCCA
rnacentral:lncRNA from 1 species